rnacentral:rRNA from 1 species
AACGAACGCUGGCGGCAUGCCUAACACAUGCAAGUCGAACGAGACCUUCGGGUCUAGUUGCGCUCGGCUGCGUAACGAGUGGGAACCUGCCCUUAGGUUCGGAAUAACUCCCCGAAAGGGGUGCUCAUACCGGUUAAUGUCUUCGGACAAAGGAUUUGUUGCCGUUGGAUGGGCCCGCGUUGGAUUAGCUAGUUGGUAGUGUAAAAGCCUACCAUGGCGAGGAUCCAUGGCUGGUCGGGUAGGAUGAUACGCCGCGCUGGGGCUGAGACCCGGACUAGUCUGGUACGGGAGGGAGCAGUGGGGAAUAUUGGACAAUGGGCGAAAGCCUGAUCCAGCAAUGCCGCGUGAGUCAUGAAGGCGUUAGGGUUGUAAAGCUCUUUUAGCCGGGAUGAUAAUGACAGUACCGGGAGAAUAAGCUCCGGCUAACUACGUG